rnacentral:rRNA from 1 species
GACGAACCGAGCGAACGUUGUUCGGAAUAACUGGGCAUAAAGGGCGCGUAGGCGGUUCCGAAAGUGGCAUGUGAAAUCCCCCGGCUCAACCGGGGAAGUGCGUGCCAAACUUCGGUGCUAGAGGGCGGUAGGGGGGACUGGAACUCUCGGUGGAGCGGUGAAAUGCGUAGAUAUCGAGAGGAACACCGGUGGCGAAGGCGAGUCCCUGGUCCGCUUCUGACGCUGAGGCGCGAAAGCGUGGGUAGCAAACAGG